AGAGACUCGGAUGCAAAUAUUGGAGCCAACCACUUGUUAGCUCUUAUGAUGACAUCUUCGAGAAUUUAUAUAUAAAUGCAGAAACCAGUUGUAAAUUUAGAGGCUGCGCUCAGAGGGGUUCUUCAGAAGCUGUUAUCUACUUUCACCCUUUCACCAUAAGAAACUGAAAUUGGAAUAAGACAGAGAGAAGAUGCUGCUGAAAUUGCGCUGUGUAGUCCUGCCUCUCAUGUUUUUAAAUGAGGUUCGUUUAGUCACUCCAGCAAAUACAACAGCAGCAAUGAUCAUAACUCCCACCUUCUCUGCAGCAAAGAUGACUGCCAACACUAAACCUAUUAAUGGAACCAGCAUUCAACCAAACAAUGGAACAGUCACUAACAGUGCAGGCACAAUGCAGCAUGAAGGAGGCUCAGCAGCUACAACCUUAGCUCUCAUGACUAUUGCAUCUUUUACUGUGUCCGUCAUUUAGUUGUGAAUGUAACUGCUUGCUGAAUUGUUAUAAAAAUAGUGUUCAUUACUUCCUAAUCACUGGUAGUACAAUCAAGUUCUGGAGUCCAAAUUCUCUAUAAAUCACCAUUCUGACUUCAAUUAACCUCUAUCAUUUCAACAUGUUCUUCACUAUUGUGAGAGUUUUAAUAUUGUGGAUCAGUAGUGGUACUAUACUUAUGUUUGCUAAAUUAAUGAUCAUGUUCAAAUAAGUACUUUCAAUUUGUAAAGUUAUUAAAUUGCUCAAAAUAU